UACGGAGGGUGCAAGCGUUAUCCGGAAUCACUGGGUUUAAAGGGUGCGUAGGCGGCUUAGUAAGUCAGUGGUGAAAGACUGUGGCUUAACCAUGGAAUUGCCAUUGAUACUGCUGAGCUUGAAUCAGGUUGAGGUUGGCGGAAUGUGACAUGUAGCGGUGAAAUGCUUAGAUAUGUCAUGGAACGCCGAUUGCGAAGGCAGCUGACUGGACCUGUAUUGACGCUGAGGCACGAAAGCGUGGGGAGCGAACAGG
rnacentral:rRNA from 1 species